rnacentral:rRNA from 1 species
CAGUAGCCGCGGUAACACGGAGGGGGCUAGCGUUGUUCGGAAUUACCGGGCGUAAAGCGCACGUAGGCGGCUUGGUAAGUUAGAGGUGAAAGCCUGAAGCUCAACUCCAGAAUUGCCUUUAAGACUGCCGAGCUAGCAGGUGAGAGAGGUAAGUGGAAUUCCGAGUGUAGAGGUGAAAUUCGUAGAUAUUCGGAAGAACGCCAGUGGCGAAGGCGGCUUACUGGCUCAUACUGGACGCUGAGGUGCGAAAGCGUGGGGAGCAAACAGGAUUAGAUACCCGCGUAGUCCCUGUCUCUUAUAC